AAUUUCUUCCUGGUCUGGGCUCACAAAAUGGCUUUCGACAAAUUGGCCCAAUUUCGAAACCCUAAAUAGGAUAUGAAAUGUGGGUUCGUCGGGCCCUGGAGGAUGGAGGGCAUUUCUUCUCCCAAUUUGAUUUUCUUCCAGUGGUUAUGGUUGCUGCCUGCUGCAUCAAAUCGACAUUAAUUUCUGAUUCUCCGAUUUCAAACAACUGUCAAUUUAGAGAUGGUUACAGCAGAACCCAAUUUGGACGAAUUCUUUGAUGGGAAGAAGCGCAUUAGGAACCCUCUGGACCCUGGUUUCUAUUGAAACUUAGAGAUCAUUUUUUUGGGAGUUAAGGGGCACCUGAAUUUCCUUCCUAAGUACUGCAAUUGAAUUGAUGGAACUGACUAGCAUGCAUUAUGUAAUAUCCCCUUGAUAGACACAUCUAGCAUUUGUAGAGCUAUACAUUGGCCGGACUGUAUGAAGUUGUGAAGGGUUAAGGCCUCCUCGUAGGCUUUUCUUUGAUGCGUGUUGUAUUUUGGCUGGAUUAUAUGAAGUUUUGAAGGGUCGAUGGCUCCUCAUACUCUUUUCUUUGAUGUGUGUUGUACUUGUAUCUUGGCUGAAUUAACAUGUAGUUUUGAAGAGUUAAUGGCUCCUCAUGCUCUUUUAUUUUCUGUGUGCCGUAUCUUGGCUGGCCUGUUUUGAAGUUUGGAAGGCUUAAUGGCUCCCUCACACUCUGUUCUUUGACUUGUUUUUUAUCUUGGCUGGAUUAUUGUGAAGUUUUGGCUUCUCAUUCUCUUUUAUUUGCUGUGUGCUGUAUCUUGGCUAGGCUUUUGUGAAGUUUUGAAUGGUUAAUGGCUCCUCGUACCCUUUUUCUUCUUUACAAUUUUACUUCCUCAGGUUCACUUAUCACAGCUGGAGUUCUAACAGCAGGCUUAAUUAUUACAAAAAAAAAAAAGAAAAUAGAAACUUUCAUGUCUCCCAAGUUCAGGCUUUGUGGCGGGUGCAAGUGGCCUCUGAAUGUAGGGGACUAAAGUUCUGAUUCCCAGUUAUCGAAAAAAAAGCAGUAGGCUUAAUUAGUUUCCGGCUAGGCAACUCUCACUUGGGAUAAGCGGGUGGCUGUCGAAGACGCUACGGUGGCUCUUAUGGUUGGCACUGCCUACUACUAUGGGAUAUCAAAAUUAGACUUUCGAAACUAAAUCCAAUGGCCUCUCAGACGGAUCAAACUGCAUCACUGAACCAUAUUGUUCAUACAAGAGAGCUGAGCAGUGGCCUGCCUAAGCCUCUCAACUUCAUACAUGGGAAAGAAAACCAAAGGAGUUGUUUGUUGCAUCUUCAUUUGUGCCAACAAAAACCACAUUUUGGCAUUUUUUUCACAUGAAUGAGCAAUUGAUUGCAACAAAACAUGAAAGCCUCCCCUCCUCUCACAGUUAUUAGCUAAAGUCAACCAACUGUUGAAUUGCCUGUAAAUUUAACAAUGUAGACACGUGUCGGUCGUUCCGAUUCUAUUAUCAAGUCAUACAAUCAUAGAAUAACUUUUCCCAAGGGAAAAGAGAAGUGAUUUCCUUUGACA